rnacentral:rRNA from 1 species
GACGAACGCUGGCGGCGUGCUUAACACAUGCAAGUCGAACGGAAAGUCCCUGCUGUUGUUGGGUGCUCGAGUGGCGAACGGGUGAGUAACACGGGAGUAACCUGCCCUUGACUGUGGGAUAACGUCGGGAAACUGGGGCUAAUACCGGAUAGUAGCGCCUGCUGCAUGGUGUUGGUUGGAAAGUUUCGGCGGGUUGGGAUGGACUCGCGGCUUAUGAGCUUUGUGUUGUCGUAGUGGCUUACCAAGGCUUUGACGGGUAGCCGCACUGAGAGGGUGACCGGCCCCAGUGGGCUUGAGAUACCGCCAAUAGUCAUACGGGAGGCAGCAGCGGGGAAUAUUGCAAAAUGCGCGGCAGCAUGAUGCAGCAACGUCGCGUGCGGGAUGACGGCCUUCGGGUUGUAACCCGCUUUCGCCUGUGAAGAAGAGUGAGUGACGGUAAUGGGUCAAGAAGCACCGGCUAACUACGUG